UGCCGAAUCUCUCGGAGAGAGCCGCGUAUAUUUGCGUCUUCCCUUUUCGUCCUGUGAAAUGCAGGUCUGGGGAGUUCGUAGGGAGGACGCUGGGACACCCAGAAGCCGGGAGAUGGGGUUGUUGUCAUUCAAGGAUGUGGCCAUAGAAUUCUCUCCAGAGGAGUGGGCAUGCCUAAACUCCCCUCAGCGAAUAUUGUACAGGACUGUGAUGUUAGAGAACCAUAGAAACCUGGUUUUUCUAGGACUUGCUGUCUCUAAGCCAGACCUUAUUAUAUGUCUGGAGCAAAGGAAAGAGCCCUAGAAUGUGAAGAGGCAUGG